rnacentral:rRNA from 1 species
UACGGGGGGUGCGAGCGUUGUCCGGAAUCACUGGGCGUAAAGGGCGCGUAGGUGGUUUGAUAAGGGUGUGGUGAAAGCCCGGAGCUCAACUCCGGGUCUGCCGUGCCGACUGUCAAACUCGAGGGCUGUAGAGGCAGACGGAAUUCCGGGUGUAGCGGUGGAAUGCGUAGAGAUCCGGAGGAAGACCGGUGGCGAAGGCGGGUCUCUGGGCCGGAUACUGACGCUGGAGGAGCGAAAGCGUGGGGAGCGAACAGG